AGUGAACGCUGGCGGUAGGCCUAACACAUGCAAGUCGAACGGCAGCACAGUAAGAGCCUGCUCUUACGGGUGGCGAGUGGCGGACGGGUGAUGAAUACAUCGGAAUCUACUUUUUCGUGGGGGAUAACGUAGGGAAACUUACGCUAAUACCGCAUACGACCUACGGGUGAAAGCAGGGGAUCUUCGGACCUUGCGCGAUUGAAUGAGCCGAUGUCGGAUUAGCUAGUUGGCGGGGUAAAGGCCCACCAAGGCGACGAUCCGUAGCUGGUCUGAGAGGAUGAUCAGCCACACUGGAACUGAGACACGGUCCAGACUCCUACGGGAGGCAGCAGUGGGGAAUAUUGGACAAUGGGCGCAAGCCUGAUCCAGCCAUACCGCGUGGGUGAAGAAGGCCUUCGGGUUGUAAAGCCCUUUUGUUGGGAAAGAAAAGCAGCAGGUUAAUACCCCGCUGUUCUGACGGUACCCAAAGAAUAAGCACCGGCUAACUUCGUG
rnacentral:rRNA from 1 species